AUGCCCUCUUCCAUGUUGAAUGCUCCUUUGGGUAGUAUUAUUCAUGUGAUGUCUAUAAAAAUUGUUUUGGUAAGUGAACACUUGUUGUCUUAUAUUGUCAGUCAAGUUGGUUGGCAUGAUGAAAUUCUCCACAUGAAGUCGUUGAUUCACAUAAUACCACAAACACUGCAACAACACUCGCCGGACCGAAAAGUGAUCCCAUUUCCACCGCGUUGUAAAGAUGAUUGA